UUUUGGACAAUGGGGGCAACCCUGAUCCAGCAAUGCCGCGUGAGUGAAGAAGGCCUUCGGGUUGUAAAGCUCUUUUGUCAGGGAAGAAACACCGGCUCUAACCCAGUCCGGGAAUGACGGUACCUGAAGAAUAAGCACCGGCUAACUACGUGCCAGCAGCCGCGGUAAUACGUAGGGUGCAAGCGUUAAUCGGAAUUACUGGGCGUAAAGCGUGCGCAGGCGGUUAUACAAGACAGGCGUGAAAUCCCCGGGCUUAACCUGGGAAUGGCGCCUGUGACUGUAUAGCUAGAGUGUGUCAGAGGGGGGUAGAAUUCCACGUGUAGCAGUGAAAUGCGUAGAUAUGUGGAGGAAUACCAAUGGCGAAGGCAGCCCCCUGGGAUAACACUGACGCUCAUGCACGAA
rnacentral:rRNA from 1 species